rnacentral:rRNA from 1 species
GACGAACGCUUGCGGCGUGCCUAAGAAAUGCAAGUCGAGCGAGGUUUAGGCUUCGGCCGACGACCUAGCGGCGAACGGUCGCGUAACACGUAAGCAACCUGCCCUAAAGUUGGGGAUAGCCCGCCGAAAGGCGGAUUAAUACCGAAUGUGGAUAUGUAUUCGCAUGUAUAUAUAUCUGAAGCAGCGAUGCGCUUUAGGAUGGGCUUGCGGCCUAUCAGUUAGUUGGUGUGGGUAACGGCCUACCAAGACGACGACGGGUAGCUGGUCUGAGAGGAUGGUCAGCCGGAUUGGGACUGAGACACGGCCCAGACUCCUACGGGGGCAGCAAUUAGGAAUCUUGCGCAAUGGGCGAAAGCCUGACGCAGCGACGCCGCGUGACUGAUGAAGUCUUUUCGAGAUGUAAAGGUCUUUUGUUGGGGACGAAGGAAGUGACGGUACCCGACGAAUAAGCCCCGGCUAACUACGUGCCCAGCCAGCCGCGGUAAGAUAGCGUAC